rnacentral:rRNA from 1 species
CCAAUAGCGUAUAUUAAAGUUGUUGCAGUUAAAAAGCUCGUAGUUGAAUUUUAGGCCUGGCCGGGCGGUCCGUCUUUGGCGAGUACUGUCCUGUGUCGGGUCCACCUUCUGGUGAACCAGUAUGUCCUUUAUUGGGUGUGCCGGGGAGCCAGGACCAUUACCUUGAAAAAAUUAGAGUGUUUAAAGCGGGCAUUUGCUUGAAUAGAUUAGCAUGGAAUAAUAGAAUAGGACGUUGUGGUUCUAUUUUGUUGGUUUCUAGGACCACCGUAAUGAUUAAUAGGGAUAGUUGGGGGCAUUAGUAUUCAAUUGUCAGAGGUGAAAUUCUUGGAUUUAUUGAAGACUAACUAUUGCGAAAGCAUUUGCCAAGGAUGUUUUCAUUAAUCAAGAACGAAAGUUAGGGGAUCGAAGACGAUCAGAUACCGUCGUAGUCUUAACCAUAAACUAUGCCGACUAGGAAUCGGGCGACGUUAUUUUCAUGACUCGCUCGGCGCCUUAUG